CUCUCUCUUCUUGAAAGCUGGCUUUAUACAAUGAGAAAAUUUAACUGUUUUUUACAUCUGGGGCUGGGAAAGAACUUUCAAAAGAGGACACCGCAAUAGAAAACAAAAAUAUUAGUAGAUUUGACCACAUGAAAAUUCGUUUCUUUCUUCAGGAAAUAAAUAUUCAAAGACAAAUGCAGACUGGGGGAAAUAUUAGCAGCAUUUUGACCAAGGGUUAAGUCCAAGAGAAAAAGACAAAUAUCCACAUAGCACAAUAGGGGGUACACAUGGAGGCCUCCCCACACCAGGGCGGCCCUGGUUAUCAGCGAGCCAGGAGCAGGCCAGCACCUCCCCACACACACUUGGACAUUGCUGUGGCCGAGCACCAAUGGUGUGUCCUUAGGCUGGGCCCAUGGGCCGCCCUCCCACCAGGCCCCCUCUCUGUGCCACUCUGAGCCCUUUGGCAGCCCCACUGCCCUGGCCAGUGACUGGCACAGAGGGUGCAAUAGAAAUAAGGGGGAUGGGCUGAGGGGCUUGGAGGAGAGAGGUGCUGUGGGAGGAGGCAGGCUCCGGAGAUCCCCCUGCCCUUUCGGAUGUAGGGGCAUCUCACCCGGUGUGCGCGCUGCAUCACACUCUCCCCAGGAGCUCCCAGGGGCCACGGCUUGGAGGGCAGGGGGUCCACCUCCCAGGACAAUCCUCCACUAAAAGGGCGGAAGGAGGACGAGACCCCGCCUCUUGUCCCGGGGAGGUUCUGGGAGGGGCUUUGCUUUGGGGGAGUGGGAGCCAAGCACCAUGCCUUUCACUUCUGUGACGGCCGGAGGGUGUUGAAAAGAGAAAAGGCGAACACGGCCAGAGAACGGCAGGAAGCAGUCCACAGACGGUACCCUCCCUCGCCAACAAUCCAGGAAGCAGACCCAAAUGAGGCGCCCAGACUACUGCACAGUUGAACUGUCUGCAUUGUUGCUGUAUUCGUCAGCAAUUCCCCCACCAACGCUGCAUCGCAAACCACCCUGAUCCUCGGUGGCUCAACAGCAAGCAUGUGUCCUCAUGCUUGAGGGCCGGGGGCUGUGCCUCUGCUGACGUUCUACUUCAGUCCCUAGAAGCCACCCAGGUAUGCUCCUUCCAUGGAGAAUCUCAGGGAGACUGAGACCACAUCUCAUGCUCUCUGCAUUGCCGCCCCUCAUAUCUCACCGGGUAGUGAAGCCACAUGGCCGAGCCCAAGGUCAAGGGGGAGGGCAUCGGUCCACCACAAAGCCACGGCCACACGGGUGGAUUGCUCUCCCACAAGGAGCCUUUCACAGGGGAGGGUAUGCAAGUCCUUGUGGAACAUUUCAGACACUCACUGAUGUAACAGCACACAGUGUGGCCAUUCCAAGAGGCCGUUGGGCCUGAGGUGCUGGCUUAGCCCCCAGACCCAGCCAUGUGAUAUGUACUGGAUGGAGACAGGGAGCGGCGACAGUGACUCUCCAGCACCCCUGGGAAGGGUUCCCACUGAGGGAGGGGCGUGGCCACAGACCCCGGGCCGUCUGUAGGCACUCCUCCCCUCUGGUCCCAGGGUCCCCCCUCCAUCCCAUCCUGGCCACAGUGUCCUGCUCUCUCGCCCUUCUCAGUCCUCUCUCCACAGCAGGGAGCCCCAGGGGAAGGUUUGGGUCAUUGGGUCCAAAGGACACCUGGUCCUCCCAGCUACAAGAGCUGAGGGUUCCUCUGCUUUCUCUGGGUCGCCCCUCCCUGGGCAGGGAUGCAGGUGUCUGCGCAGCUCCUCAGGGAGCCAGGGUGGAGCAGAUAAGCCAGGGAAACAGCCAUCAUUACAUUACGGCCGAGAAGUGCCAUUCCUCUAAAUCAUCAGGGAGCACACGGGGCAUGGGGCUC
ensembl:lncRNA